ensembl:lncRNA
UCAUUUAUUUAUUCAUUUAUUUAUUCAAUUAUUCAUUUAUUUACUUACGCAUUUAUUUAUUUAUUCAUUUUUUUUUAAUUAUAUUUAAAACAAAAUAAAUGCAAUCGCGAAUGUAAACGCUUUUAAGCUUCACCACGAUGUAAUUAGUAUAGUUAAUAAUAUAUAUAUGUAUAUAUAUUGACAUAUAUUGUAUACAUUGCAUGCAACGUUUGCAGCUACAAAGUAUGUAUUAUUCAGAGCACAUCCAUUUUAAAUAAUACCCUAAUAAUUUAAAAAAAAAAAAAAAAAAAAAAGAUUUUAAAGUUUAAAGAUAAACAUAAAUAUAAACAUAAACAUAUGCAUAAUCAUACAAUUGAAAAUACUUACUCAUAUGUUUGAUUAUUGUAUGAUUAUAGUGCUACGUAAAUAUAAUUUUUCAUUCGUAAGGGUAAAAUAAAAUACAUAAAAUAGAUAACACGAACAAUAGUUUACCACUGUGUCUAUUAAUAGUCAUUAUAAAAUAUAAUAAAAAAACGUAUAUGGAAAUAAUGAAAAGAAAGAACUAUAGCAGUAAAUACGAAGAUGUUGAUAAAAAUGAUGAAAAGAAAAAGCAGGGACAUAGAAAACACGAAAGUAAAAAGAAAGAAGAUGAAAAAUAUUUAACACACAAUAACAAAAAGACAGAAGAAGAUAUAAAAAAUAAUAAAAAAUAUGAUGAAAAAAAGAAAAAUGAUAGUAAAUAUUAUAAUAAAAAAAGUUAUGAUAAACCAUCGUUUGAAGAGGAAAAACGUAAGAAAAUUAAAAUAGAAGAAAAAAAAAAUAACAAUAAAAAAUAUUAUGGUAAAGAAUAUGGUAAAGAAUAUGGUAAAGAAUAUGGUAAAGAAUAUGGUAAAGAAUAUGGUAAAGAAUAUAGUAAAGAAUAUGGUAAAGAAUAUGAUGAAAAAAAACACGAAAGUAAAAAUUAUGAGAGUAAAAAAUAUGGUAGGAGAAAAAGUAACGAUCGAAAAGAUAAUCAUAAAAAAUAUGACGAAAAAAAAAAACGAAAAAUAAGUAGUGAUAGAAAUAAUGAAGAUUUAUCACACGUAUAUGAUAAAAAUGAUUAUGAUAAAAGAGACCAAAGUUAUGAAUAUAGAAAAGGUAGAAACAUAAAUGAGUCAAUAGAUAAAAGGAGAAUAAAAAAAUAUAAUAAUGAUGAUAGUGAUAAGGACAGUAGUAGUAAUAAUAAUAAAGAUUUAUUACACCCAGAUAGUGAUAAUAAAUAUAAACAUAAUUUAAGUAAAAGUAAAAGAAGUACACAUAGGAGUCAUAGUUAUAGUAAUGGAUCACAUCGUCAUUGGUAUAAUAAAGAAAAAAGUGAUGAUUGGAUAUAUAUGAACAAUAAAAAACAAAAUAUUGAUGAUAAAUAUAAAAAGGAUGAUUAUGAAAAGAAUUAUAAUCCAAUUGAAAGUAGUAGUAACAAAAACUUUGACAAUGGAUGUAUUAAUUAUAAUGGUGAUUAUAAUGGAUACUCUGGUAAUUAUAGUGGGUACAAUGAUAACUAUUAUGGUUAUAAUGAUAAUAAUAGUGGGUAUAUUAGAAAUUAUGAAAUAAAAAGAAAUAUAAGUCCUGGUUUAAAUAUAAAUCCUGGUUUAAAUAUAAAUCCUGGUUUGAAUAUAAAUCCUGGUUUAAAUAUAAACCCUGGUUUUGGUAUGAAAAACAUUUCCGAUAAUGAAAAUGUAGCUGGGAAAGAUCAGUUAAAAAUGAACAGCAAUAAUAAUCAAACAAAUUUAUGGUUAGAUACAAACAAUAAUAUAAACAAUAUGAACGAUUCUAAUAUAAAUCGUAGUUUAUGUAAUAGUUAUAUUUACGAUAGUGAAAGAAAUUCAAAAAAUCCCAAAAAAAAUAUAAAUUAUAAAAACUUUCAAAUGAAUAAUAUAACAAAUAGAGUUAACCAUAAUAAUAUAUAUAGUGGUUCUAAUGCAAUAAAUACAUUAAAUGGUGAUGAAUUUGAUAAAAAUAAUUUUAUACACAGUAAUAAUAAUAACAGUAACCUGGUUCAACGAAAUGACAACAACAACAACAACAACAGUAGUAGUAGUAAUAACAAUAUGGUUCCUCCGCCUAUGCAAAAUUAUGUUAAUAAUCAUUUGGCUUUCCCACCUAACAAUAAUAAUAACACCUUAGACAGUAUGAUGUCUUACAAUAACGUCCCUGGUUCUAGUAUUACUACACCUAAUGCGGGAACUACUACAACUAAUAACAAUAAUAAUACAAAACUACCAUUAAUAAAAAAUAAUAAUAACUUAUUAAAAAAUGUGAACAAUUUUACACCUUAUAAUUCGAAUAAUGAUUUAAUGUAUAAAAUAAAUAAUAACAAUAAUAAUGUUAUUGGUAAUGCAACAUAUGAUGAUACACGUGAUUUUUUUUUUUCAAAUAAAAAAACAAUAAAACAACCAAAUAAUCCUUCUGUAGAGUCAAAUAAUUUACUUAUACCUCCACCACCUUCUAACGGAAACAGAUACAAUAAUAAUAAUAAUGUUUCUGUAAGACCAAUUAAUAAUAGAAAACCUUUAGUGUUACUUCCUAAUGACAACAACAUAAAGCUUAAUAAUAAUAUACCUGGUACUGAAGUUAUACAUAACCAAAAUGUAAUAAAUAACCCCAACUUGUUAAAAAAUCCUAAUCUUAUUAAUAAUCCUAACCUUAUUAAUAAUCCUAAUCUUAUUAAUAAUCCUAACCUUAUUAAUAAUCCUAACCUUAUUAAUAAUCCUAAUCUUAUUAAUAAUCCUAACCUUAUUAAUAAUCCUAGCUUAUUAAACAAUUAUAACCUUAUAGAUUUAAUGCAUAAUAGACAACUGAAAACACAAAAUAAUUUGAGUAACUUAAUGCUUGAUACAGAUAUUAAAGAAAAGAGUUUAGAUAAUUUAGGAGUAGUAACAAAUAAUAUUAAUUUAGUUCCAAAUAUUCCACCACCGCCUGAUACGGAUACAAAAAAUAAUAUAUUAAAACCACAUAAUGCUACUGAUUUAUAUACAGAUAAUAAUAAUGUUUCACCAAUAUAUCACCCCAUGUCGAGAUAUAAUACGAAUAGUACUUCUUUAAGUACUUCAUUGCCUAAUACUACUACCAACAAUAGUACUAGUAAUAAUGUUAGUAGUACUAUUAUUACAUCUAAUGAUAAUCCACCUUUACCUUAUACACCUAUAAGUGUUGGGGUUGGAAAUAAUAAUAAUAAUGUUAAUUCUAACCAUAUGCAUAAUAAUCAAACACUUAUAAAUCUAAAACAUCAGGAUAAAAUUAUAUCCAACCCAAAUUACAUAGCAAUAAAUUCGAAUCAAAUACCAUUAUCAAAUACUAUCGCAACAA